AACGUGGGGGGCCAAAUAAAAUCACUCGCAGGCCACCAGUUGGGGAACCCUGUUGUAAUGUUAAGUGUGUGUAGGCUAGUUGAGGACAAGUUCUCAUUUGCAACUGCGACCUGGCCAAGAUAAAGCAUGAAUGGGACCCCUCUUGUAAUUACCUAUUCUUCAGGAGCAACAUGCGAGACUGUCAGAAGCUGCGGGCCAAGCUGAGGAGAAGAAAGGGGGCGCGGGUAUACGCCUGCCAGUGUAGCUGGCACUCUGCUCGAGACCUCACCGACCUGAGAGAACAGCACCAGCUCAAACGUUCAGCAGAGCAGCCACAUCCUGUGAGUCAUGUCCUGUGGAAAUGUCACUGGGUGGUGAAUUCGGAGGGGGACACUGAAGUCGACCAACCUGAUUCUAGAAACACCACGGGACCAAAUACUCGGUGGUUUCAAACCAUAUGACACUGGAGCCUUUGGUUCUGCAUAUCACACUUUAGUCUUCACUUUUUUCCCGGUUUAAAUGUGGAAUUGCACUUUAUUUAGGUUCAACAAAUAGAGCUAAAUGACUUAAAUGUAAUGUAAAUGUAGAGAAUGAAAACCAGGUUAGUGUAGUAUGAUUAUAACUGAUUGAUAGCAUUUUCCUUAGAAAUCUGACUCCACCGGACCAUUUGAUAUCCUCUAUGACACAAAUGACAAUUGAUCAUUCUUUUCUUCUUUUUGUUUUCUGUUUGUGUGUUAGAGAGAGCAUAUUUGUGUGUUAGAGAGAGCAUAUU